GCAGGCCGGAAGCUUGGGGCGGGGCUAACGUCCUCUGGUUGAGGGAGCGACAGGACUGAGGCCCCAGGAUGCAGGCUCUGAUGUUCUCUCUCUCGGUGCUUUGGACUCUCCCAUGCUCCUCAGGCCCAGGACCUGGUCUCCUUGCAGAUCUCAGCAGCCCUGUGCCUCCCUUGGGUCCUCUUGUUUACUGCCUGCUGGAAUGUGUUUCAGAAUUUAUUAAGUCUUAUGGCCGCCGUGGAGAGCAUCCGCUUGCAGGCUGUGCAUUGUUCAUAGUAUUGCAGUUACCCAAGCAUCUCAAAUGUCUUCACAUGCAGAGGAAUACAUGUUACAUUCAUUUAAAAGGAGAAGAAAGGUACACCUUUCUGUCUUUAAAACAUGAACCUCUAGGACCCUUCUUGGAACUCCUUGGAGCUUGAGAACUUCAGGUCGAAGAAGCAGGAAUUAAUUAUUUGGCAUUUUACCUGUACCAUAACUAUUUCCCAGAAAAUAUGCUCUGGAGUCUAUUUAUUACGGCUACACAUUCCCUCUUCACCUGUUCUCCACACCAUCAAAGAUAAGAUCAACUUUAAGAUCAUCCAGAUCUGACGUAGCACCUGGGGGAAGGGGAAGACUCUGAGCUCAGAGCAGAGGCAGACCACACCGGGCUUCCAGAAAUGGCACGUCUCCAAGAGGAAUGUGGGGCGUCCACAGAACGCCGGACAAACCAGUCAGUCCGGUUUGGAGUAAGCCAGUGCUUGCCUUUGUAUCCUGUGUCCCACAGUGUGUGUGUGGUUGUAAAUAACUGAAAACCCAACUGAUUUAAAGAACAGACAGUGUUCCCGCAGCGGAACAAAAAGUCUUUAAGUCGGUGGCUCCUGGUACUGGCUAAGCUGCCCACCAGUGUCACCGGGGACCAGACCCCUCCUUUCCCUCUUGUGAUCCUCAGUGUGGGAAUGUUUCAUACUUCAGCCACUACGGUGUAGACAGAGGACAAGCCGGCCACACGCUCACUGCUGGUCCUGGACUCGAGCCAUUUCAACAUUUCUCUCAGCCUGAUGAAACUCUGAUGAAACUCUACUCCCAUCUUUCUUCUUUUUUUAAAAAAAUAACAUUUUAUUGAUUUU